UAAUACGGAGGGUGCGAGCGUUGUCCGGAAUCACUGGGCGUAAAGGGCGCGUAGGCGGCCUGAUAAGUAGGGGGUGAAAUCCUGCGGCUUAACCGCAGGGCUGCCUUCUAAACUGUCAGGCUAGAGCACGGUAGAGGCAGAUGGAAUUCCCGGUGUAGCGGUGGAAUGCGUAGAGAUCGGGAAGAACAUCAGUGGCGAAGGCGGUCUGCUGGGCCGUUGCUGACGCUGAGGCGCGACAGCGUGGGGAGCAAACAGGAUUAGAUACCCUGGUAGUCCACGCCGUAAACGAUGGGCACUAGGCGUCGGGGGGAGCGACCCUCCCGGUGCCGUCGCUAACGCAGUAAGUGCCCCGCCUGGGGAGUACGGCCGCAAGGCUG
rnacentral:rRNA from 1 species